GUACAACUCUGAGCGGUGGAUCACUCGGCUCGUGUGUCGAUGAAGAGCGCAGCCAACUGUGUGAAUUAAUGUGAACUGCCCAAAGCUUUGAACAUCGACAUCUUGAACGCACAUUGCGGCCAUGGGUUUUCCUGUGGCCACGCCUGUCCGAGGGUCGGCU
rnacentral:rRNA from 2 species